GGUGAUGUAGCUUAAUUGGCAGAGCGCUCCCCUUGGAAUGCAAAGUUCUCAUUCCAAGGGAGAAGUAGGGGUUCGAUUCCUCUCUUCACUACCA
rnacentral:tRNA from 1 species